rnacentral:pre_miRNA from 27 species
CUCCGGUGCCUACUGAGCUGAUAUCAGUUCUGAUUUUACACACUGGCUCAGUUCAGCAGGAACAGGAG